CUAUAUAUAUUUUGAUCGCCAACUCAUAGAUACUAGCUCUAGUUGAUUUUAUUGGAAUUUGGGAGACUGUGCAUAAGUCAAUAUGCUAAAAUAACAAAUAAGGUCCAAUGAGAUAGAAAUACUGAAUCAAAAAAGCCGUAGGGUGAAGAGCAAAAGGAGGAGUCCACCCGAGGAAGGGCUCACAUCUGAUUAGCUAGUUGGUGAGGCAAUAGAUUACUAAGGCGAUGAUCAGUAAAUGGUCCGAGAGGAUGAUCAGCCACACUGGGACUAAGACACAGCCCAAACUCCUACGGGAGGUAGUAGUGGGGAAUUUUCCGCAAUGGGCGAAAGCCUGACAGAGCAAUGUCUUGUGGAGGUAGAAGGCCUACGGUUCGUGAACUUCUUUUCUCAGAGAAGGAGCAAUGACGCCCACGAAAGGUUUAUUUUUUUUAUUUUAUUGGAUUGAUUCAUUUUGAUCGAUUCGAUACGAGAUCGAG
rfam:Citrus clementina cultivar Clemenules unplaced genomic scaffold scaffold_7, whole genome shotgun sequence.